GUCACCGUAGUUCAAUGGAUAGAAUACGGCCCUCCGAAGGCUGUGAUGUGGGUUCGAUUCCCGCCGGUGGCGCCA
rnacentral:tRNA from 1 species